UGUAGCUCAGUGGUAGAGCUCUUGCCUUGCGUGCACAAGACUCUGGGUUCGAUCCCCAGCA
rnacentral:tRNA from 1 species